rnacentral:rRNA from 1 species
UACCCGCUCUCCGAGUGGUGGGGAUGCUUAUUGGGCCUAAAGCAUCCGUAGCCGGCUGGACAAGUCCCCUGUUAAAUCCAGCGAUUUAAUCGUUGGACUGCGGGGGAUACUGUCCGGCUAGGGGGCGAGAGAGGCCGACGGUAUUUCCGGGGUAGGGGUGAAAUCCUAUAAUCCCGGGAGGACCACCAGUGGCGAAGGCUGUCGGCUAGAACGCGCCCGACGGUGAGGGAUGAAAGCUGGGGGAGCGAACCGG